CACUCCACUGCUCUCCUUGUUUCUUUCAUUACUGCAGCUCUUUCUCUCUCCCCUUUGCACCCUUCCUCGCUCUGCCCCUUCCCUGCUCUCUGGUCCUUUUCAAAUGCAGUGGAGCAUGAUGGGCUGUUUCAGGGGGUCAUGCUACCAUGGAGAUGCUUGGACAGAUACAGGGAUUAGGAUGUGUCGAGCCAUGUCGUCUCUGUGAGGGAGCCAAGAGAUCACCUCCAAAACUGAUCCUCAAAGAGCUGACAGUGGGUAGCAGUGUCAAAAAUGACAAUGUGGAAACCUUGCUGUGUUUGUGUAGGUGUCACCACUUCGUCCACAUCAUCCACGAUCACAAAGUCUUCAUGCAAUGAAGAAGUUCGUUGAGACCAGGACAGAGACCUCCAGGAGGAGAAGAUGACGACAGCAGCUGAAGACCUGAAGUGGAUGAAAGAAAACAAGUGUUACGAAACUGUUAAUUAGAUAAGAGACGUCCACCAUCUAAAUACUGUAAACAGUGUUGGUUUCCUGUUGUUCAAGUGAAAACACUUUUCUCUGCCAUCUGUAAUGUAGUUAUGGGCACAUUUUCCAAAGACUAAUGUCUUCAUUAAACACCUGUGCUCAUAACUACAUUAAUCCUAACCAGCUCAAACCUCAUAAUGUCUGUGUAGGUUCUCAGUCAUCCAGGUCAUGGUAGUCCUAAGUGCUAAAGUUAAAGGCAACUGGACUUCUUUUAGGUUUCUUGAAGACAGUUCACCUCUCAUCCAAAAGGCUUCCUCAGGC